AGCAAUAAUAGCUUAAACAGAGCAUCGGUCUUGUAAGCCGAAGGUGAGCUAUAUUUCUCUUGUUGCUA
rnacentral:tRNA from 1 species